rnacentral:tRNA from 1 species
AAGAAUAUAGUUUAAUAGGUAAAAUAUCUUAUUCCAAAUAAGAGGUUAUUCGUUCGAGUCGUAUUAUUCUUG